AGUGGGUGGUUUUUAUUAUUCAAACCAUCAUCCCGUCCACCACACCUCUGCCUUUUCACAUCAUCUGUCCACCUUGGGUGAUUUUCAUUAUUAAAACCAUCAAAGUCCAUGAUUUUCAAUAUUCAAACUUUCAGCUCCUUGGAUUUGAGAUCCUUGAAAUGUUUAUCUCUCUCUCUCUCUCUCUCUUCGCACUCUCUCUUCUCUCAUCUUCACAAAUGACUGCAGAAAUUCGCCAGCAACAUUUUUUCUUUACCCGUGACACUACAAGAUAUGAGAAGAAGAGAAAAGGGCAGAAGAUGGAAAGAUUACUUGUUCUUCCGGAUUCGUGUAUAUCGGCUUCGGAUCUACCCGUUGAUGGUGGUUUGGGGUUGUGAAGAUGUUUGAGAUGCUUUUGGAGUUUUGCUGGUUUGACUAGCUUGUGCUUGUGUUCUUUGAUUCAGAUUUUAAAGAUGCAUCUACUGACCUCUUACACUAAUGAAGGUUCGAAGCCUUGAUGUUUCUGAGAUCAAUUCGAUCGACAUCGUUUCAACAUCUGCAGAUCUGAUUUCUCCUUGCGGUUGAAGGGCGCAAACUCAUGUAUAUUGGUUAAUCGAAAGCUAUAACUGUAAUAUGAUGAUUGGGGAAGGUGAAAGAUGGGGUAUUUUUGGGUGGAUUUGGGUUUGCACGGAUGUAAGAGAUGUCGAGACUUUUCAACAUUUUUCAAGUAUUUUUGGGUUUUAUCUCGAUAUUAUCGAUAAUAUUGUGAUAUAUUGCUCAAAUAAUGCAUUAAAAUGCUGAAAAUAUUGUUUUCGAUAUUAUUGCGAAAAUAUUGACAAAAAUAUUGAUAUAUUGACGAUAA